rnacentral:rRNA from 1 species
UACGUAGGGUGCAAGCGUUAAUCGGAAUUACUGGGCGUAAAGCGUGCGCAGGCGGUUAUGCAAGGCAGAUGUGAAAUCCCCGGGCUUAACCUGGGAACCGCAUUUGUGACUGCAUAGCUGGAGUACGGCAGAGGGGGGUGGAAUUCCGCGUGUAGCAGUGAAAUGCGUAGAUAUGCGGAGGAACACCGAUGGCGAAGGCAGUCCCCUGGGCCUGUACUGACGCUCAUGCACGAAAGCGUGGGGAGCAAACAGG